GGAGAGGUGGCAGAGCGGUUGAAUGCACCGCACUCGAAAUGCGGCAAGCCUUAAUAGGGCUUCGGGGGUUCAAAUCCCCCCCUCUCCG
rnacentral:tRNA from 4 species